rnacentral:lncRNA from 1 species
AAUUCAUAGUAGAUUGCAUUAGUAGGUUGUCUUGCAUUGCAUUUGGUAAGUUAGGGUUCAUUAGUAGCAUUGCAUAUCAUAUCACCAACUAGAGUAGUCCCUGCAUGCCAACCCGUAGUGGUAGAGAGUACCUCCUCACUGACUCUCAGACCCCUUUACCCACCAUGGACCCCAGAGUUCUACAAGAUAUUUUGGGACAAUUAGCUGCAUUACGAGCUGAUCAAGACGAAUUCAAACGAGAGAU